AUUCUAUCUGUAAUUCUUAGAAGCUGCAGCCCCUGUAAGAGCCCUAGCUUACAAGAAAAAAAAUAGAAAGUUGACAAACGAAUUUGUUGGUUAAAUGCUGUUUUGGCAUUUUGUGGGGAAGUCACAAAGUGUGCUGUUUUUAUCCUGGACAACCACGAAGACCACACUAGCACAAAAUACCACUGUAAGUCCCAACAACACAUGCUUGCCAGGGAACACCAACAACAACAACCUCAAAUUAUAUGGCCUUAGUGGAACGUUUGAGAGUCCAAGAGAUCCUUAUAACUCCCAAUUUUAUCCAGGGAUGAGCUGUGAUUGGCUCAUUACUGUACCAGAAGGGAGCAUUGUAAAACUCAGCUUCGAACUAUUUGAUAUGGAUUUUUUGGCGACAGGUUCUCCUUUAUGGUAUUGCAGUGGUGAUUAUGUAGAGGUACUUAAGGGGAACAAAAGUGACAGUGGAAGCAGAGGAAAAUUGUGUGGUCUUACAAAUCCAGGGAUUAUCCGCUCGAGUGGUCGGUACAUGCUAGUGCGUUUCAGAUCAGAUUUCUUCUCCACCCCGUAUCAAUAUUACAAAGGAUUUAAUGCUACUUUCACAGCAGAGAAUAAACUAAUUUGUCCUUACAACGGUGAAGCACUUACUGCUUCUGUAUCACAUCAGAAGACACUGACGAAUCCAGGCUAUCCUUUGGCUCCUGUCAGUUUGUUACCAUCGAGGUGCAGGUGGAUACUUGAAGUACCGGAUGAACUUUCCACUGAUGGAGCAUACAUAUUGAAAGUUACAUUUAAUGACUUCAAUCUGCAAGAAUAUUAUGAUAAACUCACAUUUCAUGAUGGUAUCAGCUCAGCAUCAAAGCGUCUCGGAAAAUCAUAUACCGGAAGAGUCCAUCCUGAUGUUCUUUAUUCUACUGGACGCCACCUAUUUGUUGAUUUUUCUGUGGAAGGAAAACCUUUAGCGGGCGUAGGCGGUUUUAGUUUAAACUUUUCAGCCGUGGUCAGAGAGGAAGCCUUAGGAGUAUGCCAAUCGCUAGACGGGAAUGCCAAGCGUAAUCGCCUCACUGGUUCCUCUGGUUCGCUCUUUUCCCCUUUCUACCCUGUUCCUUAUCCGACUAAUUCCAGUUGCAUUUGGGUGAUUUCCGUUCCUGCUAACAAAAGAGUAAAGCUGAUAUUUGAUAAGAUUGAAAUUGAUCGGAAGGACCACGUACAAAUACUUGAUGGGCGAAAGUCGUGGAGUAAAGAGCUAGCUGUUUACCAUGGUUACAACUUGUUUAGUACUGGGUCAGCGGUGUACUCGACUCGGAAGUACAUGCGGAUACAGUUUCAUUCCUAUCAGGGCUCCUCGGAUUAUGCUGGAUUUAAAGCACAUUUUGAGGCUGUGGAUCCGCCUGUAAGUUCCGAGCAGACAUGUUUUCCGGGCAACAUUUACAACAACAAUCUGAAAUUAUCCGGUUACAAUGGAACUCUUCAAAGCCCAACAGGUGGCGAAGGGUAUCUCUCUCACUCUAGCUGUAACUGGCUCAUUGCUGUCCCAGAAGGGUACUAUGCAAAACUCAGCUUUGACACCUUUCAAUUGGUUCAAACUGACAUGUCAGGAAGAUGUGAUGCAGAUUAUGUAGAAGUUGUAGAUGGGGAAGACAUCUAUGGUGACAGCGAAGGGAAAAUGUGCGGUUCCAAUGCACCAAAGGAAAUCUCCUCUACCGGUCGGUACAUGAGGGUGCUUUUUAGGUCUGGUCCAAUCAGAUCAUCUUUCAGGGGAUUGAAAGCAACAUUUACAGCGCUUCAUGACCCACCGAAAACUAAAGCUGUAAAUUCCUACGAGUUAUGUUACCCGGGAAACGUCCACAACUAUGAUUUGAGAUUGACCGGUUCAGAAGGGAUUCUAGAGAGUCCUUUGACCCACUACCCACCGAGUUUAUUUUGUGAAUGGCUCAUCACUGUACCCGAAGAACAUAGUAUUGAACUCAGUUUCGAGAGAUUUCAGUUGGAUCCUGAAGGCUGCAGAGAUUAUGUGGAAGUUGGAGAUGGAUUGCCCUUCUCUGACAAAUCUUUGGGAAGAUAUUGUGGAACUACGAUUCCCAAAGCCGUUAGUUCAAGUCACCGUAAUCGGUAUAUGUGGGUUCAGUUCUACUCUGACGCGGAUUAUGUAGGCAGAAAACCACACAGUGGAUUUAAAGCCACCUUCAAGGCCAUAUCAAGUUCAGAGUCACGUACGUUGGUGACAGCCGUUAUUGUAAGUGUAAUAUUGUUUGUUGCACUGAUUUGCCUUCUCGUUUGUUUGGCGAAACGAAGUAAAAGAAGAAACCGAGAAGCAGCGGAGAGAAUUCGAAUGGCUCCAGUAUCACGCCGUACUCAGUCCGAACCUUUUGACACCACAACACCUCCAGUAGAUUACGUUCCCAACGAAGCCCCAACGAACGCAGACAUACCACCCCCAGAUUACCCAUACCCACUAGAAUCGCCACCACCCUACCCCGGUAAGGGACAGAUUCCACAGUUUCCACCUCCGGGACAGUCGUAUCCAUGGUUACAAAGUGCGUCGGCUGAAGAAUCAGCUAUCCAUGAGAAUGAGAAUUCGUGACGUUCUUUUGACGAUUUUAUUGCGGGAUUGUAGUCGUUAGAUAAGUUCAAGUUUCAAUAUGCGAUUGUGGAGACGAACGAGACACAAGCGUGCUGUACUGUCUAUUCAGAGUCAGCCGGGCAGAGAAGCUUACUGACCUUUUCGGUCUGUUUAGCUUUCUCAUGCUUGUAUUCAUUUCCUUCCUGUUCUCACGCCACGUUUCUUGGGCUGAUGCUUAAGGAAAAGUAAAACACAAAUACAUCUUACUCUUCAUAUCGGAUAAUUAUCAUCAUCUAGCUGUUAUGGGUGUUUUCAUACCUCGUUGGAGCAAUCUGCGCAGACUGUCAUCUCAGACGUGGCCCAUCCUUUGAAUUUUUCCGACAACCUGGUUGGCGAAUUACAACCGCCAAAUGUGACUAAAGAGUUGGUUUGUGAAGUCCUUGCUUACACAGGUAGUAGAGGCUUGAACUGUGCUUUAGAGGUAAAGAGAAAAACAAGAAGUUGUAACCUCCAGCUUCAUUCACUGUUUCCAAAUAUUCAGGUAUAAUUAGUUCCUUACUUGGAAAAAGACCAUUUUCUUAUUUAUACACAUUAACUUCAAACCUUUCCUCUUACUUUAUCAAUGAUGUGAAACAUAAUGUAUUGGUAGAAGUUUCUUUGAUGUAAACUUGGUAGUAAAAACUAUCGAUACAAAGGAACGACGUUCAACCUGUCAGAUCUCGUUUUCAGGUUCUGUUAAAAGAUAAUAAGUUAUAAAGAAUUGUCAAGAGAAUAUGAUGUUUUAAAAACGGAUGAGAACGCAAAAAGCACGAAGGCGUGGGAAAAUUACAUAACAGUCCAUUUUAUGGUUGGGUGUGUGGUUGCCAAGCCUUUGGACGAGAGUGAGGCUAAGGGUGACCUUGUUAUGAUACAAACUUGCAGCUUUUCAAAUGUAGAUGACAUUAUCGUGCUUACUAGAUACUGGUCCCUAUCACAACAAGGUCACCUUCAGCCUCACUCCAAAUCAAAGGCUGGGCAACUAAGUACACAACUGUAAAAUGGCCUAUUACAAGCCACCAAAAUAUUUGAGGUGAAAGAAUAGUAAAAAAAUAGCUUCGAGGGGUUUGAGUCGCACUGUCUGUUUAACAGUGGUUUCAGUUCCUUGACAAAGAGCAUUUCAAAAAUAAGACAAUCAAGUUUGUUCUGGCACUUUCUUGAUAUAUUAAAACUUCGCAUGAUAUUUCCCGGUUCCAUGUCAUGCCCCUUUCUGAGAUGAUCUCCGAUCGCCGAUCCUUUGAGGACUGAAACCACAGCUAAACAAACAGUGUUACUCAAUCCGUGCGAAGUUAUUAUUUAAGACUAUUCUUUUAACUUAAGGGCCGGUCUUGCCCAAACCGCGGUUUUAUGCAAACAGUGGGUCUUACGUAUUCUCAAGAAGGAGGUUGUUUUCAUGAGAAAAAUCCCCUUCCGUUGCUAGCUUUCGGCCCUCUUGAAACUGGUUACUAAAUGAAUUUUCAGCCGAGAUAAAAGAUUCAGCCAACUUUAAGAUAGUUUAGAUCGCAGUUUUGAAAAACAAUGGCUUAACUUUGUUUAAAUAACCGGCCCAAAGAUUUCGAUUGUUUGUAAUUAUACAAUUUUAACAUAUCAUUAUGCUUGUUAUAGUCUCAUUCGUUUUUAAACUCUUUUAUUUGUAUGCUGAUUUUUUAUGAUUCUUACAUUUUACUCCUAAGUUUCACAUAAUAGAAGGGGAUUGUCAUCUCUGUUGUAAUUGAAAGACUAGAAAAAAAUGUAGGUUCAAUAUAAACUAAAAUCAAGAAAUCGCCAAACGUUUCUCUUUGAAAUAUAUUCGCUUCCCUUUUG
rnacentral:misc_RNA from 1 species